rnacentral:tRNA from 2 species
GCGAGGGUAGCUUAGCUUGGUCAACGGCGCUAGAUUGAGGGUCUAGUCCUUAGUGGUUCCUGUGUUCAAAUCACAGCCCUCGCACCA